rnacentral:lncRNA from 1 species
GUGAAGAUGGGGCACCUCCACUUCCCUUCUAAAGGAGCCUGGGAAUAGGCUAGGAAAUGUCCCCACUGUAGAAGACAGCAGGAACAUCUGACACGCGGAUAACCUGUGCUGAGCUCGUUAUAUUCCCAGCAUUUAAUUCUAGCCAUUAGGCAUGCGUUAGCCACAACUUCGCAUAGGAAGGUUAUUGCAGUGGUGGUGCUUUGCCACCCAUGUCA